AUAGAUUUUAUUGCAAAUCUGCCCAUUCAUGAAAAAGUUCCUGAUUCAGAUUUUUAAAAGGUUUACUUUUAAAUGUAAAAGUAUGUGUCCUAUUUUUGCAUUUUCAAUAGGUAGUCUAUUGAUAAUUGUCCUAUUUUUGCAUUAUCAAUAGGUAGACUAGUUUCUAAUGCUAAAGCUUAAAGGUUACACAAGGUACAGUCUUAAAGCCCAAUUUUAUAACUUCAAUUUCUCACUUACCUCAUCUCUGAUGUGCUUAUUUUUCCAUCACUAUUCUGCAGAGGGAAAAAGUGCAGGAUGACAGUCAUUAAGGGUCUAAAUUGGUUGCAGUGGUUCUUGUCGAUGAUGGCAUAGUCCUUUCGGUGAUCUAGCUCUGCCUCCAGAUGCAGAGGGGGACACAAGGAUGCUGGGCUCUGCUGGAGAUGGAAACAGCAGGAGUGGGGAGGCAGGAUGGUGGGUACCCUCCAGUUCUUGCUUCUGAGAGUCAGUCUUCCAUCUCAGAACCUCUUUUGGGAGUCAUAACCCACUCUAGCCAGAUAGGAGGACCAGUUUCUUACUGGUAAGAACACAUAGGCAGAGUAUAGAUAAAUAUCUAGCUUUGUGCAGAUAAGGGGGCUAUUCUUAUAGACUCCCCUUGGCGUGGAUCAUCUGUCUAAACCACCGUUAAUCCUAGAGGCACUAGACUUGGCUCUCUGAAGCCUGUUUUUCUUCUAUGUUGAGCUUGUCUCUCACAAGUCAAUGGUCAAUUUGUUUUUAACAUCAUCUUCUUUCUAAAAAAUCCAGCUCAGAUGUUGCCUGGUUCUUUUGUCCCCUGAUUCCUCUACUCAGAGAGCUAUCUAUUCUUUCUUUGGAAAGAAGACAGAGAGGGCGCCCUCUUUUCUGUAAAAUCACCUGUUUAUCAAAAUGAUCACAAGGCUGUCAACUCCUUGAGUGCUGGGAUUACAGAUUACUCUUUGUUGUAUAUUCACUAAAGCUGGACAAAUAUUUGCUUUGUAAAUAAAGUAUAUGCAGCCAACGUGGAAGAGGGGAAAUUCAACAUAUGUCAUGUUUACAACAACAGGAUUUCCAGACAUUUCCAGCAUAAUAGAUGUAAUUUCUGAUCUUCUCCUUUUCAAAUAACUCCAAAAAAACUUCUAGAUUGUGUACCAAUUAAUGCCAGAGAUUAUUUUAUACACUCACAAUGUAUGUAUAUCCAUGUCUCCUGUGGUGCUGAGGACAGUGCUUGGCACAUCCUAGGCACCCAGUAUAAAUUCCUUAAGUGAAUGAAUGUGAUUUGAUUUUUUUUUUUUGUCUUUUGUCUUUUUGUCGUUGUUGUUGUUGCUAUUUCUUGGGCCGCUCCCGUGGCAUAUGGAGGUUCCCAGGCUAGGGGUUGAAUCGGAGCUGUAGCCACCGGCCUACGCCAGAGCCAUAGCAACGCAGGAUCCGAGCCGCGUCUGCGACCUUACACCACAGCUCACGGCAACACCAGAUCCUCAACCCACUGAGCAAGGGCAGGGACCGAACCCGCAACCUCAUGGUUCCUAGUCGGAUUCGUUAACCACUGCGCCACGACGGGAACUCCUGAUUUGAUUUUUUAAAGCCAUGUUAGGGUUUAUUUUUUUUGGAAGACUUGAGUUUUAGUGAAUUAAACUUUUAUGAUCUUAGCAAAUCCUUCAUACAGACCAGUUGGGAAAACACCUAUAAUUUAUGCUUCACAGACCUUCUGUCUACAUUCUAAAAUUUUAUUUGCAGUGCCUACACUAAUUUGAAUGAGAUGAAAACCAAGUUUAAAAAAAAAACAAGUAGUGUUGAACAUUUUUAGAGAUUUAGGACUGUAAUCAUUUAAUUUUUCCAUUCCCUGUUUCUCUUACUUCAUGGAAAUAGAAGAUUGAAAAUUUGGUGAAUUAUAAAUAUAUUUUGUACUAAUUUUAGACUGAGUCAGAGCAUUUAAUAGAAAUUCUAAGUGGAAGUCACCUAAUGCUAUUAGGUUCCAAUUUUGUUCAACUAAAGUUCAGCUAUUUGUUUUUUAUCAAUAACUUACAAUUUGUAACUCACUUUUGUGAAUUGUAUUGAAAAAACAUCUAUUUUUGAAGUACUGAGGUCAAGAAUGAACCCUUAGGUGGAGACCCAGAUAAUGGAGAUAAUAGGGCAGAGGUUGUAAUUGGAGGCUUUGGACUCUCUGUCCUGGGUUUGAAUUCUUGUGCCAGGGCUUCCUAGCAGUAAAGUUACUAAACUAUGGAGAACCCUAAAGGAUGCCUAUAUUGAAGCCCUACCCCAAAGCAUGGCCCACUCCGGGGUUCUCUCCUCUGAUUAGAAGUCUUUGGAAUCCUAGAGGGGGCUAUAGAAGGAGAUGAGGUUAGGAAAAAAAAAAACAGAAAGCCUCAUUCAUUGGGGUUGAUUAAUUAUUUAAACAAGAACUUACAAAAGAAAAGUAACUGAAAGGUCACAAAAUUGAGUAGAUGCCAAUACCUGCUCCCUUUCACACUCAUGUAGAGGUUUCUUAAGACCAGACAAGUCACCAUGCUGCCUUCUCAUCACUGUCCUUAUAGAUCGGGAGGACAUGAAACACAGCAUUUGUAGUGUCUAAUUAUGUAACAAUCAAAAGGCACAUAGUCCUUAUAUCACUAAUGGGAUCAGAAGGCAAUAAAGUAAUGUAUAGGCUGAUUUUUGAGGCUUUGUUCAAAAUCUAUGCUGUGGAGAGCAUUGGGGGUCUGGACUGUGAAUUUGUUACUGUCUGCAUGAUCUUGGGCAAGUCACUUCAUCUCAUAAUCUAGGCAACAUCCUUGUCCUACCUGUCAUGAUUGAUGAGUCCUGAGCUGACAGAAUCAAAAACGAGCACACCAGUCUGAGACCAGAAAGCAGAGCGUGUGUGAAUGCAUGUGGGUCUAAUCCAUACUUUGAGAGGUGUUAGUCUGAGCUCUUCAGAAAGCAAAGAUUGAGUUAACUAGCAUAUGCUUGGUACCUAAAAACCAGACAUAGAAAUGUGUCAACCCAUCACCAAGAGUGGGAGAUGACAAAACGGAAUGAGAGAAACAGCCCAGGAAUCUGCUGAUGCCAGAAGCGGUAGUCCUUGGCUCUUGAUAAAUUCCACCCAUUCAUCUUUGCUCCCUUCUGACAUCUUUUAUUGCAGCCCAAGGUCAUGGAAGGCACUGGACAUGUCCCAGGGUACAUUAGGAUCCAACAGGAUGUACCCUCACCUCUUCACAGAUGUUAGCCAGGAUUGUCAUUACGGAGGACACAGACCUUGGGAAGGCAAUGAGUUUCCCACCACUUCCCACUGAGUGAUUUGCACUGUCUGAAAGCCAGUCUAAUGGAAAGUGGCUGGAAAAGAGCAGGAGGGUCUGGUUUCGGCAUCCACGGAAUCAGCAACUGGUAGGUGUCUGAGAGCCUUUGGGAUAGUUUCAUCCUGAGGUUUUCAAACUCAUCUUCAAAGAGACUGGGCUGGGAGUGGAAUAAGGAUAAGAAGAUGGGCAUCUGAGCAUCUCCUCAACCUCAAUUAUGGCAGCUGUCUAUCUUCAGUGUGUUACCGAUUGGGUGUUUAUGUAAACUUUCAACUGAACAAAGUUCUGAUCAAACACUUUCAUUUUAUAAAUGGCCAAACUAAGGCCCAUUGGUGUUGUGACUUAUCCCAAGAGAGCAUCGCCAUAUACCUCUGCAAUUUAGAAAAAAGAAAGGGAACCUCGAAAUUCAAAAGACCACUUUUGCCCAUUGAUAGUUUAUUUUCUCUGCCAACCCUCUCCUGGGUGAUUGAAUAAGUUGGGAUUUUACUCUUCAAUGAACCCAUGCAAACAUGACAUUGUUUUAAACCACUGAAAUGGCUUCUUCAUUAAAAGAUAUUUUUUGAGGGUUUACUAUAUACUAGGCACAAUCAAAGAUACCAUAAAAAUAAAUGUCUAUAUACUCAAAAUAGGUAUAAUUCAGAAUGAGUAGAUGACAAAUUUGGAAGAAGGCAGGAGAUAAUUCAUAGAACCAGGAAACCUCCUGGCUCCUGCAGUGAGGACAGUAACAAAAUCAGUUUACCAAGAGCAGAAAGUUUAUGAAAGGAAGUUGAUGGAAUGGCCUUGAGUUCCUGGAUGCAGAGUCAUGGGUCAUUAGGUGACAGGUGAGUCCACUCCUCAUCUUACAGAAGAGGGAUGGGCAUGCCAGUGGCCACUCCAUGGAUGCAGGCAAUCCUUCUCUGUCCUCUCACGUCAUCUCUGCCAGACACCUCAUCCCCUACUGUAUUAAUCUCAUGGAUAAUAAGACUUAAGAUAUCGCUAAUAUCUCAGCCUUCCCACCAUCAUCCACCCAAUCCUAAUCAAUUGGGAAAUAGGGAAUAUAGGAAGCAGGAAAUAAGAGAGAGGUUCUUUUACUUUUCUUUUCUUUUUGCUUUUUAGGGCCACUCCUGCAGCACAUGGACGUUUGCCGGCUAGGGGUCAAAUCAGAGCUGCAGCUGCUGGCCUCUACCACAGCCACGGCAAUGCCAAAUCUGAGCGCUAUCUGCAACCUAUACUGCAACGCUGGAUCCUUAACCCAUUGAGUGAGGCCAGGGAUUGAACCUGCAUCCUCAUGAAUACUAGUCGGGUUCACUUCCACUGAGCCACAACAGGAACUCCAAGAGAGAGAUUUGAACUGGAAAAAUCCAUAAGCAAAUGCAGGCAGGGAGACUUCAUGUCCAUUUAUAGGAACAUUUCUUGAGUUACUCUGUGUCAGGUAUUCUACAUGCAUCUUAGUAUACAUCUACAUACAUCUUCAUACCUUAUGAAGUUAAUAAUAUCCUGAUUUUAUAAAUUGAGAAACUGAGGUUCAGGGAGAUUUAAAUAACGUUUCCAUAACAAUUCACAAACAAACGAGAGCUGGGGUUUGAACUUAAGCCUUUAUAAUGUUAAAGAUGACCCCGUUUUUUAUUCUUUAUUUUGAAGUUGGUUGACUUAACCAUCAAGGCACAUUGUCAUCUUCCAGUUGAGCAAGAUCUCAUUCUUAUUUUAUUUUUCUCCCUUUUAAAAAUGCCUACACCCUGUUUCCAUUAUUCUGUUUCCAUAACCAAAAAUUUCAGUUUGUUUGAUGUGUAUUUUUAUGUGUUUUUGAAAAAUGAGCAAUAUUAUUUUGUGCGCAUACAUUUUUAACCUAUGUAAAUAAUAUUCAUAUAUCUUCCUUCCUUUUUUUUCACUGAGGACUGUAUUUUUUAAGAUUCGCCCAUAUUUCUAUGGAUGCUUCUAAUUCAUUGCUUCUAACUGCAACUUCUGCCCUUUCAAUUAUAUACAAUUAAUUCCCUAAAGCAAGGGGCAGACUUGGGAGACCACCUUCAUAAAUAUUAAUUAAUUAAUUAGCAUAUUAAAAGCAAUUCAGUCAACAAAACAUUUGUUGAGCAUUUAGUACCAGACACCGAGUUUGACACUGGGAAUAGUGAGAUGAAUAAAAUUCUAAACCUUGAGAGAUGCCUGAUCCAGUAGGGGACCCAAUCAUGCAAAUAGAUAAUUAGGGUUUAGUGAAUUAUGUGCAGAAAGAGAUAUGAGCUCAAGAAAGAGUAGGGUGUGAUUGUUCCUGCUCUGAGCUCGGCACAGAAUGAGUGAAAUGUGGAACAAAAGAGUGACCCUUCCUGGCUUUCACAGAACGAGGAGGAGGAGUGCUCUGAGUGGGUGGGUGGAGAAAGCGUAUUCUGGGAAACAGCACUUUUGACAAGAGCUGUUUCAUUGUUUGUCCUCCCCAUGGCCCCUUCCAAAGACCAUACUGCACGCUCAGGUUCUCAGACAGCAGCAGGGUAAACACUUCGCCUACUUUCUGGGCAGGGCUGCUUGUCUAAGGGGUGGGUGCCUGGUACUUGACACAUAGGAAACCUCCCAGUGGUCCAGCAACCAAACACACAUGUGGCCCUGGCUAAACAGCUAAUUUGGUCCAAUCUAUUCUUCCCCUUGCCCUUGGACCUAAGAGAUCCAGGCAUGUUGCCAGGUGGUGAUAGAAGGGGAAGCUGGUAGGUCUUGCUGCCCUGUGGUCAUUUGCAUGUUGGUGAAUAAGCAAGGAGAGUGGGUUUCAGCAAAUGAGGGAAUUGAGCCCCUUUUGGGUGGAGAGAAAUGCCUCCUGGGCUCCUAGUACUCUCCCACCUGGGCUCCUGGUCUGCGAGUUGGACUUUGCUUCCUCUCUCAAAUUGCAUGAGGUUCCUACUGAAUCCUCUCAAGAUUCUUUCUUGGGAACUACUCUUGAGUUUUUAUUACCGCUGCCUAAUGAUGUUUGCUCAAAGCAUGUGCUCCUGAGAGACAAAGCUGACCUGAGAGACGAAGGUCUGCUUACAGAACUAGACCUCAUCUGAUAUUCCAAGUGUGAAAUAAGGGGGGGCAGGGCUGAAUGAAAACCUGAAAGAAGCACCUACAGGACUUGGCAACUUCUUAGAUAUGGGACACAAAGAUCACCAAUUCUGAAGUUCUAGAAGAAUGAUGGCAACAUUGAUAGAAAAUGAG
rnacentral:lncRNA from 1 species